rnacentral:rRNA from 1 species
GGUUAAGCGACUAAGCGUACACGGUGGAUGCCCUGGCAGUCAGAGGCGAUGAAGGACGUGCUAAUCUGCGAAAAGCGUCGGUAAGGUGAUAUGAACCGUUAUAACCGGCGAUGUCCGAAUGGGGAAACCCAGUGCAAUUCGUUGCACUAUCGUUAACUGAAUACAUAGGUUAACGAGGCGAACCGGGGGAACUGAAACAUCUAAGUACCCCGAGGAAAAGAAAUCAACCGAGAUUCCCCCAGUAGCGGCGAGCGAACGGGGAGCAGCCCAGAGUCUGAAUCAGCUUGUGUGUUAGUGGAACGGUCUGGAAAGUCCGACGGUACAGGGUGAUAGUCCCGUACACCAAAAUGCACAGGCUGUGAACUCGAAGAGUAGGGCGGGACACGUGGUAUCCUGUCUGAAUAUGGGGGGACCAUCCUCCAAGGCUAAAUACUCCUGACUGACCGAUAGUGAACCAGUACCGUGAGGGAAAGGCGAAAAGAACCCCGGCGAGGGGAGUGAAAAAGAACCUGAAACCGUGUACGUACAAGCAGUGGGAGCACCUUUAUGGUGUGACUGCGUACCUUUUGUAUAAUGGGUCAGCGACUUAUAUUCUGUAGCAAGGUUAACCGUAUAGGGGAGCCGCAGGGAAACCGAGUCUUAACUGGGCGUUAAGUUGCAGGGUAUAGACCCGAAACCCGGUGAUCUAGCCAUGGGCAGGUUGAAGGUUGGGUAACACUAACUGGAGGACCGAACCGACUAAUGUUGAAAAAUUAGCGGAUGACUUGUGGCUGGGGGUGAAAGGCCAAUCAAACCGGGAGAUAGCUGGUUCUCCCCGAAAGCUAUUUAGGUAGCGCCUCGUGAACUCAUCUUCGGGGGUAGAGCACUGUUUCGGCUAGGGGGUCAUCCCGACUUACCAACCCGAUGCAAACUACGAAUACCGAAGAAUGUUAUCACGGGAGACACACGGCGGGUGCUAACGUCCGUCGUGAAGAGGGAAACAACCCAGACCGCCAGCUAAGGUCCCAAAGUCAUGGUUAAGUGGGAAACGAUGUGGGAAGGCACAGACAGCCAGGAUGUUGGCUUAGAAGCAGCCAUCAUUUAAAGAAAGCGUAAUAGCUCACUGGUCGAGUCGGCCUGCGCGGAAGAUGUAACGGGGCUAAACCAUGCACCGAAGCUGCGGCAGCGACACUGAUGUGUUGUUGGGUAGGGGAGCGUUCUGUAAGCCUGCGAAGGUGACCUGUGAGGGUUGCUGGAGGUAUCAGAAGUGCGAAUGCUGACAUAAGUAACGAUAAAGCGGGUGAAAAGCCCGCUCGCCGGAAGACCAAGGGUUCCUGUCCAACGUUAAUCGGGGCAGGGUGAGUCGACCCCUAAGGCGAGGCCGAAAGGCGUAGUCGAUGGGAAACAGGUUAAUAUUCCUGUACUUGGUGUUACUGCGAAGGGGGGACGGAGAAGGCUAUGUUAGCCGGGCGACGGUUGUCCCGGUUUAAGCAUGUAGGCUGGUUAUCCAGGCAAAUCCGGAUAAUCAAGGCUGAGGUGUGAUGACGAGGCACUACGGUGCUGAAGUAACAAAUGCCCUGCUUCCAGGAAAAGCCUCUAAGCAUCAGGUAACACGAAAUCGUACCCCAAACCGACACAGGUGGUCAGGUAGAGAAUACCAAGGCGCUUGAGAGAACUCGGGUGAAGGAACUAGGCAAAAUGGUGCCGUAACUUCGGGAGAAGGCACGCUGGUGUGUAGGUGAAGUCCCUGCGGAUGGAGCUGAGACCAGUCGAAGAUACCAGCUGGCUGCAACUGUUUAUUAAAAACACAGCACUGUGCAAACACGAAAGUGGACGUAUACGGUGUGACGCCUGCCCGGUGCCGGAAGGUUAAUUGAUGGGGUUAUCCGUAAGGAGAAGCUCUUGAUCGAAGCCCCGGUAAACGGCGGCCGUAACUAUAACGGUCCUAAGGUAGCGAAAUUCCUUGUCGGGUAAGUUCCGACCUGCACGAAUGGCGUAAUGAUGGCCAGGCUGUCUCCACCCGAGACUCAGUGAAAUUGAACUCGCUGUGAAGAUGCAGUGUACCCGCGGCAAGACGGAAAGACCCCGUGAACCUUUACUAUAGCUUGACACUGAACAUUGAGCCUUGAUGUGUAGGAUAGGUGGGAGGCUUUGAAGCGUGGACGCCAGUCUGCGUGGAGCCAACCUUGAAAUACCACCCUUUAAUGUUUGAUGUUCUAACGUUGGCCCCUUAUCGGGGUUGCGGACAGUGUCUGGUGGGUAGUUUGACUGGGGCGGUCUCCUCCCAAAGCGUAACGGAGGAGCACGAAGGUUAGCUAAUCCUGGUCGGACAUCAGGAGGUUAGUGCAAUGGCAUAAGCUAGCUUGACUGCGAGCGUGACGGCGCGAGCAGGUGCGAAAGCAGGUCAUAGUGAUCCGGUGGUUCUGAAUGGAAGGGCCAUCGCUCAACGGAUAAAAGGUACUCCGGGGAUAACAGGCUGAUACCGCCCAAGAGUUCAUAUCGACGGCGGUGUUUGGCACCUCGAUGUCGGCUCAUCACAUCCUGGGGCUGAAGUAGGUCCCAAGGGUAUGGCUGUUCGCCAUUUAAAGUGGUACGCGAGCUGGGUUUAGAACGUCGUGAGACAGUUCGGUCCCUAUCUGCCGUGGGCGCUGGAGAAUUGAGGGGGGCUGCUCCUAGUACGAGAGGACCGGAGUGGACGCAUCACUGGUGUUCGGGUUGUCAUGCCAAUGGCACUGCCCGGUAGCUAAAUGCGGAAGAGAUAAGUGCUGAAAGCAUCUAAGCACGAAACUUGCCCCGAGAUGAGUUCUCCCUGAGACUUUAAGUCUCCUGAAGGAACGUUGAAGACGACGACGUUGAUAGGCCGGGUGUGUAAGCGCAGCGAUGCGUUGAGCUAACCGGUACUAAUGAACCGUGAGGCUUAACCUU